rnacentral:rRNA from 1 species
UAAUACGGAGGGUGCAAGCGUUAAUCGGAAUUACUGGGCGUAAAGCGUGCGUAGGCGGUUUAUUAAGUCAGAUGUGAAAGCCCCGGGCUUAACCUGGGAACUGCAUUUGAAACUGGUCAACUAGAGUAUGGUAGAGGAAAGUGGAGUUUCUGGUGUAGCGGUGAAAUGCGUAGAUAUCAGAAGGAACAUCAAUGGCGAAGGCAGCUUUCUGGACCAAUACUGACGCUGAGGUACGAAAGCGUGGGUAGCAAACAGGAUUAGAUACCCUGGUAGUCCACGCCGUAAACGAUGAUAACUAGCCGUUGGGGGGAUUUACCCCUUAGUGGCGAAGCUAACGCGUUAAGUUAUCCGCCUGGGGAGUACGGCCGCAAGGCUA